CACAGGAUAGAUUUUUUUCAAGACGCUUUCUCCCCAUGAAUGUAUAUGCUCGUGUUGUUAAGAGGAGGCAGCUUAUUACACAUUUAAAUUUCAAAUUAGAGACAACUUAGAAUACUUCAAUUAUUUUCCGUAACAAUUUAGCAGACAGCAAAUGUCUUGUUCUUAUCUCUUAAAGGACCCAAAAGUGCUUUAGCAAACUAAAGAAAUAACAAGAAAUAUGUUUAUGGAACAAUAGAUUAUUGUCAAUAAGUAAUAUUAUUUUCUCAUUAGCAGCUAUUUGAGAGAAACCCUGAAGGACCCCAAACUGAAUUUGAAAAGCAAGUCUUUACAGUGCUUACUGAAGAUUGACACUCUAUGAUGCUGACAAAUGAAGAGAAAUAUCAAGUAUUACUGCCAUCUAGUGACCACUUUGGGUCACUGCCACCAUUUGAGGCAGCACUGAACCUCACUCAGCUCUCACCUCCAAGCUCUGUGAACGGUUAAGUUGCCCAGGAAGGGUUGAGAAUCAGUUCACUCUUCCUGUUUUAAAAGCCAAUCAGAGGUUACCAACGAGAGCCAAUGAGAGACUAUCAAACAGAUGCUGGUGUUUAAGACCUUUCACUUUUCGUUUCCUAAUUGAAUUUCAUCUUGGUGACAGAAUGUGAUUGGAGUGGUAAAUCUCUUGAGAGCUUAUUGAGACUUCCUUUGGGAAGUAAACGUGUGGUAUGUUUUUGUCACAGUUCUGUGAGCACUUGAUGAACAUACUAUCUUUCUUUUUUCUACUUGUGUGCUUGUUUAAAUUUCCAUCUUACACAGCAAGUUUAAGUAUUAAUUGGGUUGCUCCACUUUUUCAUAAGCUACGUUUAUUCCUGACAUCAUUUUCUUCUGACCCAGAUGAUAUAGACUUGUCCUCUCUAAUUUUGAUUCAUCUCUUCUUAUUGCACCGACAUUUUUUGCCCCUGUAUUUAAAGUGAUCGGCCCUGCCCUCAGGCCUUGUUUAUCCACUACUAAUUUCCCUACUAUCGAUUGUUUCAGGAAGGAAUUUGUCUGGCCUCUGUCUCUCUGUUUCUAUCUAACUUGCAUGUGGGUGCACACACAAGUGAAGGCAGAGUCCAUGUUGGGCUCCCUCCAUUACUCCCAUUUUUGCUUUUGACACGGGAUCUCUCUGUAGGAGCUGAAGCUUGCCAUUUUGACUAGACUGGCUGGCCAGGGAGCCCUUGGCAUCCACUGUGUCUCUUCCCCCUGGGAACUGGGAAUCAGUCAUCAUCACGGAUGCAAUGGAGGCCAUGGGCAUGCCACAACACUGCGAGGAGGUCAGAGAACCUUCAGGAGCCGCUUCUCACUUUCUAGCAUGUGGAUCCUAGGUGUCCAGCUCUGGUACCAGACAUGCUGACAAGCACGUCUCUCCUCCCUCAGCCUGAAACCUGCUU